GGUGCGGAACGCGUAUGGAACCUACCUUUAUCAGGGGGAUAGCCCAUGGAAACGUGGAUUAAUACCCCAUAGUAUUACAUCAUUGCAUGAUGAUUUAAUUAAAGAAUUUCGGAUAGAGAUGGCCAUGCGUAUCAUUAGCUAGUAGGCGAGGUAACGGCUCACCUAGGCGACGAUGAUUAGGGGUCCUGAGAGGGAGAUCCCCCACACUGGUACUGAGACACGGACCAGACUCCUACGGGAGGCAGCAGUGAGGAAUAUUGGGCAAUGGAGGCAACUCUGACCCAGCCAUGCCGCGUGCAGGAAGACGGCCCUAUGGGUUGUAAACUGCUUUUAUACAGGAAGAACACCACCCACGUGUGGGUGACUGACGGUACUGUAAGAAUAAGGACCGGCUAACUCCGUGCCAGCAGCCGCGGUAAUACGGAGGGUCCAAGCGUUAUCCGGAAUCAUUGGGUUUAAAGGGUCCGUAGGCGGGCUAAUAAGCCAGAGGUGAAAGUUUGCAGCUCAACUGUAAAAUUGCCUUUGAUACUGUUAGUCUUGAGUUAUAGUGAAGUGGUUAGAAUAAGUGGUGUAGCGGUGAAAUGCAUAGAUAUCACUUAGAAUACCGAUUGCGAAGGCAGAUCACUAACUGUAUACUGACGCUGAGGGACGAAAGCAUGGGUAGCGAACGGGAUUAGAUACCCCGGUAGUCCAUGCUGU
rnacentral:rRNA from 1 species